GUGAGGAAUAUUGGACAAUGGGCGCAAGCCUGAUCCAGCCAUGCCGCGUGCAGGAAGACGCAUCUAUGGUGUGUAAACUGCUUUUGUACGGGAAGAAACACUCCCUCGUGAGGGAGCUUGACGGUACCGUAAGAAUAAGGAUCGGCUAACUCCGUGCCAGCAGCCGCGGUAAUACGGAGGAUCCAAGCGUUAUCCGGAAUCAUUGGGUUUAAAGGGUCCGUAGGCGGUUUAAUAAGUCAGUGGUGAAAGCCCAUCGCUCAACGAUGGAACGGCCAUUGAUACUGUUAGACUUGAAUUACAAGGAAGUAACUAGAAUAUGUAGUGUAGCGGUGAAACGCUUAGAUAUUACAUGGAAUACCAAUUGCGAAGGCAGGUUACUACUUGUGGAUUGACGCUGAUGGACGAAAGCGUGGGGAGCGAACAGGAUUAGAAACCCCUGUAGUCC
rnacentral:rRNA from 1 species